rnacentral:rRNA from 1 species
AGUGAAUAGAUACCCUGGUAGUCCACGCUGUAAACGAUGGAUACUAGGUGUAACCGGUCUCGACCCCGGUUGUGCCGCAGCUAAACGCAUUAAGUAUCCCGCCUGGGGAGUAUGGCCGCAAGGUUGAAACUCAAAGGAAUUGACGGGGGCCCGCACAAGCGGUGGAGGAUGUGGUUUAAAUUCGACGCAACGCGAAGAACCUUACCAAGGCUUGACAUCCACAGAACCUGCUAGAAAUAGUGGGGUGUCCGAAAGGAAACUGUGAGACAGGUGGUGCAUGGCUGUCGUCAGCUCGUGUCGUGAGAUGUUGGGUUAAGUCCCGCAACGAGCGCAACCCUCGAUGUUAGUUACCAUCAUUAAGUUGGGGACUCUAACGUGACUGCCGGUGAUAAGCCGGAGGAAGGUGAGGACGACGUCAAGUCAUCAUGCCCCUUACGUCUUGGGCUACACACGUCCUACAAUGGCAUAGACAAAGGGCUGCAAGCUAGCGAUAGUGAGCGAAUCCCAUAAACUAUGUCUCAGUUCGGAUUGCA